GUGUGCGUGUCGAUGCCGCCCGGGAUCACCAGUUUAUCGGUGGCAUCGAUGACUCGCACCCCCGCUGGGAUCUGGAGGUUCAAACCAACUUCUACUAUUUUCCCAUUUUCUAUGUAGACGUCGCAGAUGGCGGAGCGGUCCUCGUUCACCACAGUGCCUCCCUUGAUCAGGAUCCCGCUGGGCUCCAUUGCUGCUGUGCACUGCUGACACAGGUCUGACAGUGAGGAGAGAGGUGCACAGCCCUCAGAGGUUCAGUAUCGCACCCAAGGACACCGCCAUGCAGAUGGGGAAGACUGGGAUUGAACCACCGACAUUCAGAUACGGAGCUGUACAAGAGGAGCCGCAGGUUCAGACACUUGACGUAUGUGCUUCACUGAGGAGCCAAUGGUGCACAGCUGCCAUCUGUGGGAUCAUUACUAAAUGCCUCUAAAUCACAAUCUGGCCUUGAUAGGACAACACUGUAGCACUACCCAACUUCUACUGGCUUCAGUUAGUUAUUUUGAAAACCACAAGUAUCACCAACGACUGAAGCACUGCUGAAAUGCUAACUGCCAAAGAACAAAGUGUUACUCUAUGCUCACUUUAAUGUGAAUACAGUUUAUAUUCAUUUCCUCGGGUUUCAAACUUUCUCACAGUGUACUGACCAGUGCACCAUGUACUGCCUCCACUAUGUUUCUAUCAUCUGCUAUUUUUACUGUAAAUUCUAUCUGUUUGUAAAAUGUUUGUUCCACUAGAGUCAUCGACAUCUUUUAUUGUGCCACAUAUUUUCUGACAAAGAGGCUUACCUCCACCAUGAUCCAUUACUGUAUUCUGUAUGUUUUAUUCUUUUAAAAGUCCUUAAAGUCAAA